rnacentral:lncRNA from 1 species
CUUUGUAACUUCACCUUAGUCUCUGAGGGCCACAGCUUCAUUUACAUGAGGUGAACACAAAGUGGCCAAUGGGAAAUCUCUAGGGGGUAUUUGGACCUGAGAAGAUUCUAUAUCCAGGCCCUUGAGCUGCUGCCGCUGCCGGCUCCCACACUGUGGAGUGUACUUUCACUUUCAAUAAGUCUCUGCUUUUGUUGUAUCAUUCUUUCCUUGCUUUGCUGUGUGUUUUGUCCAAUUCUUUGUUCAAAAUGCCAAGAACCUGGCCAACUUGGAGUCAAGACCCUCUACCGAACUUGAAGAUUUUUAGUGUUAUGCCUACUCUGCCAAUUCUUGGAACAUUUGCGGAACUGAGAAUUUACUUCUUCGUUUAUUACUUCCUAACUACAUUUUAAAGCAAAUGAGGCACCACAGGAAGCUGGAACCUGGUCUCACCAUUUAUCUUUGGUUUGCCUAAGACCAAAUAAAUGACUUUAUGCCCCAGGCUAAAUAACAACAACAUGCCAAUAAAAUAAAAACCACAAAGACAAAGUGGAAUGUGGAGGACAUGAAAGUUUCAUGCUAGGAAUUAAACUAGAACAUGAAGAAGCAUCCGGAGAUCUCCAGUUCUGAAUACCCUGGUCACUGUCAACAAGUUCCAAAUGAUUUAAAGUACUAAUUGAAUUUGAUAAUUGUUUAUUGAUCACAUAGUAUAUACUCUGCAUCAGAAGCUGCCUCUAAGUAGUGUCACCUUAAGCAGAAGGGAUUGAGACUCAUUUGUUCUAGAUUCAGAUCAUUCAACAAAACAUGGCAUGAUUUCCACAGUCUCUGACAUUCUGAUUGCAUUGCUUGAGAAAAUUCUCAGUCUGGGAAUCUCCUUAAAAUGCAGCACAGAUGAUGGCUGAAUAGGAACAGCUCCGGUCUGCAGCUCCCAGCGAGAUCAACGCAGAAGGCGGGUGAUUUCUGCAUUUCCAACUGAGGGUGUAACACUGUGACCAACGAAGAGAGUGUUUUCUAUCAGUGACUCGCAGACUUCCCUUUCACUGGAAUCCAGCUUAUUAGCUGCAUGGUUAACUUUGGAGCCAGGAAAACAUCCUGCACAUGACACUGCCAUCAAGCAGAGGAGACAUGUUUCUCGGCUUCCCCUCUCUGGGACUUAAUAGCCUCUGAAGGCUAGCCUUUACUGACUCAUGAAGCUGUGUCUGCCUGGGGUCAGUGGUGGAGACAUUGCGUUAACCCCAGCAAGCGAGCCAUCACCAGAGCUUUGCACAGGGAGACACCACAUAGAAAGGCAGAUGAGGCAACACACACACCAUCCCCAGACAGCCAUGGGUCCCCAGAGACAGGAAAAAUAUGUGUUUUCUUAAAGAAUUAGAAAAGAAAACCUUGCUUUUUCCUGUGUGGCUCAUUGGUAGGAGAUCUCAAAUUCUAACCCUUGUUUUCUCUUUUACCUCUCUGUCUGCUAAAAAGCACUCCUUAGAUCCAGUAUCUAGCAUGGUGAGCCUCCUGGAUGCAGUGCUGCAGUGGCCACUGCUGGGUCAAAAACAAACACUGGGAAAGGAGGAAAAUGAUGUUUUUCUCUCUUUCA